UUAGCAUUUUCAUUAUUAGGUAACAGAAGAUACUGCUCUGAUUUCCAUUUAAAUUUCUGCACAAUUCUUGUGUAGCCAAGAGUUCAGGUUGGAGUCUCGAGCGAGUCGGGAAAGCACUGGUAUAGUUAGAAAGAAGAAGCCAUUCCCGGAACAGGAAGCAACCUGCCCAGAAGACAGAGGCGUCUCGACGGCAUCCAGUCUCGGUUAUCAUAGCGACUGAUAUUCUGGAGCAUUGAUUGCUUCUGAGAUGCUUCCAUUUAACCCUUAAGAGCAGAAGAGAAGCCUCCGUCAACACACAUUCGAAGGCUUAAGAAGAGUGGAAAUGCAAUAACCCGUGUAAAGCGCACAGAACUGUGCCGGACACCUUGCCGACAGAGGGGAAUGUUGGCCAUCGGCAUCUGCAGGCCACUUGCUGAAGAUGAGGCACAGGAUGUGCUUCAGCUGUUCUGGCCUAAAACCAGUUUAAAUUGAAGUCAAGCAAUUGAAGAGUAUGCAGCCUUCACAUCCUGCAGACGUGAGUGUAACUGAGCGUUUGCGUGGAUCAGACGUUGCCUUUCGCGUGCGUGACAGUGGCUUGAAAUGUACCCUCUCGAAAUCGAGACUUUACGACCUUGAUAAUUAAGGUAGGGUGUUGUUACCUUUGAGCUCCUUUGAAAUAUUUCAAGGACCUAGGCAUUCGUUUGAUUUGUAAGUUAGAGAGUUUCAGCGGCCUGUGCAUUGAGGCAGAGCUCGUAAUCCCCUCCAGGGGGCUCCCGCCUCCUCCACUUCCCCCGGCCCCAGCGGCCAGCUGGCGGCCACAGCGGGUUCUGAGGCAACGCUGGGGGCACAGAGGCCCAAGGCAGUUAACAGAGGACGCUCCUGAAUGCGGGGGGAUGGGGGGGGGGAGCCAGGCCAGACGCCCCUUCCCUGUCUUACCAGCAGAGUCGGGGUUUUCUCCCAGGGCGGUCCUCACCCCACCCGCCUCAAAGUUACCUGGGAUGCGUGUUAAAAUGCAGAUUUCCAGGCCCUCUCCCAAACCUUGAGCACGAGACUCUGGAAUCCACAGUUUAUCCCGUCACGCAAGUGAUUCCUAGGGACACCAGAGUUCAAGAAACACCAGCUCAGCACCCGCCCUUAGACGGUUGAUAGGAGCCCAGAGAUGCCACCUGCAGUGACCUAGGCUGUUGCUCAGCCGGCCAAGGCACCAAAUGGACUGGACAUUGGGCCCCGGGCCACAGUAAGGGGCUGCCUGCCACUCUAGUGCCUGAAGGAGGCUAUGUGCAGCCCUGGUGCCCACAGGGGCGAGCUGAGUCCCUCCUGGUCAUCUUCGUCUUCGGACCCCAGGUGCAGGGAUGCAGAAUCGCCAUCCCUAAUUUCACAUCCGGUGGCCCUGCUCCAUGUUCCUUUCAGGGCGGCUGUCCCUUCGUUUCCAAACCUGCCUGCGGCUCGGCACCUCCACCAAGCUUCUCAUUUGUUUAUAUCGAUGGGUCUUGGCUGCCCAAAGCACCUGGGAGAUGCUAUGGUCCCGGGGCAGGUAAUUUCGGAGCCGCUUUGAGCUCUUGGCCUCAGUACCUGGGAAGACAAAUGCUGGGGCCUGAUCCUUGCCUGGGGGCUGUCCCCACUGAUGUCACUCACUGGACAGGGCUUGGUCCUCCCACGGCUGGACUGGGAGAUGUUGGUCUGAUUCUCUGCUCUGUUUCUACUGCCGUGGGGUCCCUGGGGUGGGGACAAGGUGGCGUGAUGCAUGCAGGUGUGUGAAUUGGCCCCAAGCUCCCGGGACUUCUCUCCUGGGGCUGUGAGCACCCCGCUCUUAAAGGUUCCCUUAUCUCCCUUCACGGCCCAUAAAACCAGCUUGUGGGGCAGGUUAUGAUGGCGGGGGGUGCCCUACCCCUUGGCCCUGCGGGGACGGGCAGCGUCAAAGGCGGCGUGAAAGAGUGCAGGCACUUUCUUGAUUUUCUGUGGGUCUCGUGUCUUAGAAAGAUGCUGCUGUGGGGUCUGGGCCCGUCACGUGGGGCG